CGAGAGAACCCAAAUAUGACCGAGUGGGAUCGGUUUGCACACAGAGAAUAUAUUAGGCUUUCAAUGGAGGAAGAUGCUGAAGAUGCCUCCAAUGGAAGUCCUGAUAUGUGGGAUGAAUCACUUGAAGCUCCCUUUUAACUUUUUGUUGUUGGAUACAAGGCAUACAGAAUCAUGUUUGGCCUGGCUAUUGAACAUCAAAGGGCAAAUUGUGCACACCAAAUCUUCAAGGGGAUGACCGGAGAUGACUCAAUCUGUCAAAUUCACAAAAAAAAAAAAUUGAAAAAAAAGGUCCCUUGAGAUUGAGGGACGAUUGAUAAUUCCUUCUACACAGAACUUGUUUAACCAAGUAAAGUUUCAUACUACACAAGCUCCUGGCUUGAAUACCGAGUCUCUUGUCAAGUCACGCAAAUGGUGUGAUUAAACAGAAGCAGAGUCUUGUUCACAGCUUGUAGAACUUUGUUCUUUGUCUAGAUGUAAGGAACCACACUUAUUACUUGUUCUAGAUAGUGCUUCCAAGAAUGUUUUUCUUAUAAGUGGUUCAGUUUUUCUUUUUUGGUUGGUAUAUAUAGGUUCGCUUUGUUAGGUUGUAAGGUUUCGUCUGUUUUUCACCUUUCUUUUCUUUGCAAUUGAGACAUUCAUAGCAGCCUGAAUAGUUGUGGCAGCCAUGUGUAAUGAUAUUUUCCAUUGCCCAAUACUUGGUCAUAGUAAUCUGUUUCUAAUGUAAUGGGCAUCACCCAUAAACUUGUUUGAGAGUUGAUAAAUAUGGCAAUCAGGAAGUUCCUUAGUUACUUGAUAAA